rnacentral:rRNA from 1 species
CUAGUCGGACGAGUUUAGACUCGUGGCAGAUAGCUCAGUAACACGUGGCCAAGCUACCCUUCAGUCGGCAAUACCCUCGGGAAACUGAGGUUAACGGCCGACGUGGGACGCCUGCUGGAAUGCAGCGUUCUCUAAAGGCGACGCUGAAGGAUGCGGCUGCGGCCGAUUAGGUUGACGGUGGGGUAACGGCCCACCGUGCCAGUAAUCGGUACGGGUGAUGAGAGUCAGAGCCCGGAGACGGAAUCUGAGACAAGAUUCCGGGCCCUACGGGGCGCAGCAGGCGCGAAACCUUUACACUGCACGGAAGUGCGAUAGGGGAAUCCCAAGUGCGAGGGCAUAUUCGCCCUCGCUUUUGUUGACCGUAAGGUGGUCAACGAAUAAGAGCUGGGCAAGACCGGUGCCAGCCGCCGCGGUAAUACCGGCAGCUCGAGUGAUGUCCAAUAUUAUUGGGCCUAAAGCGUCCGUAGCUGGCCGCGCAAGUCCGUCGGGAAAUCCACCUGCCCAACAGGUGGGCGUCCGGCGGAAACUGUGUGGCUUGGAACCGGAAGGCUCAGAGGGUACGUCCGGGGUAGGAGUGAAAUCCCGUAAUCCCGGACGGACCACCGAUGGCGAAAGCACUCUGAGAAGACGGCUUCGACAGUGAGGGACGAGAGCUAGGGUCUCAAACCGGAUUAGAUACCCGGGUAGUCCUGGCUGUAAACGAUGCUCGUUAGGUGUGGCACCCACUACGAGUGGGUGCUGUGCCGCAGGGAAGCCGCUAAACGAGCCGCCUGGGAAGUACGUCCGCAAGGAUGAAACUUAAAGGAAUUGGCGGGGGAGCACUACAACCGGAGGAGCCUG